rnacentral:rRNA from 1 species
GAGGUUGGGAGAGGGAUGCGGAAUUCCAGGUGUAGCGGUGAAAUGCGUAGAUAUCUGGAGGAACACCGGUGGCGAAGGCGGCAUCCUGGACCAACACUGACACUGAGGAGCGAAAGCCAGGGGAGCAAACGGGAUUAGAUACCCCGGUAGUCCUGGCCCUAAACGAUGAAUGCUUGGUGUGGCGGGUAUCGAUCCCUGCCGUGCCGAAGCUAACGCAUUAAGCAUUCCGCCUGGGGAGUACGGUCGCAAGGCUGAAACUCAAAUGAAUUGACGG